rnacentral:rRNA from 1 species
CUUCUUUUUCCACCGUGAGCUUGCUCCACCGGAAAAGAGGAGUGGCGAACGGGUGAGUAACACGUGGGUAACCUGCCCAUCAGAAGGUGAUAACACUUGGAAACAGGUGCUAAUACCGUAUAACAAUCGAAACCGCAUGGUUUUGAUUUGAAAGGCUCUUUCGGGUGUCGCUGAUGGAUGGACCCGCGGUGCAUUAGCUAGUUGGUGAGGUAACGGCUCACCAGGGCCACGAUGCAUAGCCGACCUGAGAGGGUGAUCGGCCACUUUGGGACUGACACACGGCCCACACUCCUACGGGAGGCAGCAGUAGGGAAUCUUCGGCAAUGGACGAAAGUCUGACCGAACAACGCCGCGUGAGUGAAGAAUGUUUUCGGAUCGUAAAACUCUGUUGUUAGAAAAAAACAAGGAUGAGAGUAACUGUUCAUCCCUUGACGGUAUCUAACCAAAAAGCCACGGCUAACUACGUGCCAACAGCCGCGGUAAUACGUAUGUGGCAAGCGUUGUCCGGAUUUAUUGGGCGUAAAGCGAGCGCAGGCGGUUUCUUAAGUCUGAUGUGAAACCCCCCGGCUCAACCGGGGAGGGUCAUUGGAAACUGGGAGACUUGAGUGCAAAAGAAGAGAGUGGAAUUCCAUGUGUAGCGGUGAAAUGCGUAUAUAUAUGGAGGAACACCAGUGGCGAAGGCGGCUCUCUGGUCUGUAACUGACUCUGACGCUCGAAAGCGUGGGGAGCAAACAGAGAUUAUAUACCCUGGUACUCCACGCCAUAAACGAUGAGUGCUAUGUGUUGGAGGGUUUCCGCCCUUCAGUGCUGCAGCUAACGCAUUAAGCACUCCGCGUGGGGAGUACCACCGCAGGUUGACUCUCAAAGGAAUUGACGGGGGGCCCGCACAAGCGGGGGAGCAUGUGGUUU